GCGAGUAUCGUAUAACGGCAAUACCAGACUUUUCCAAAGUCUUGCUAGGGGUUCGACUCCCCUUACUCGCUCCA
rnacentral:tRNA from 4 species